rnacentral:lncRNA from 1 species
GGGGGUUCAAGGAGGCAGCAUGACUUGCAGUCGCCGCCGCCCUGCGUCUGCCCCCAGUCCCCAGCCCACCUCUUGAUGCGUCCCGGGUCGGCUGUACAAAUAUGAUGAAAUGGCAGCCCCGGAAGAAGGCAUACUUCCGACAGGGUGUUGCCCUCCAGUACCUCGGCCGGCACGCGGAUGCCCUGGCAGCCUUCGCGUCUGGGCUGGCUCAGGACCCCAAAAGCCUCCAGCUCCUGGUGGGGAUGGUGGAAGCUGCCAUGAAGUCUCCCAUGAGAGGUAGGCAGGACGCGAGUCUUCAGGAGUGACUGGGAAGCAGGCGCCCAGCCUUCCGUGUUCGAGAGCUGCUGGGGUCUGUGACCCGCUGACGGACUGUCUAAUGGGGGCAGAUGAGUUCAUGCCUUCCUGUUUCAGGACUAUUUAAAUCAUUUCCACUGUAAAAUUAGUUUUAAGUUUUUAAUUUACAAUGCCUCUAAUAACAAGUUGAUUUUCUUGUAUGAACAAAUA